rnacentral:rRNA from 1 species
GAGUUAAACAGUAUGUGAAAUUGUUGAAAGGGAAGCGCUUGCAACCAGACUUGCGUGUAGCGGUUCCCCCAGUCUUCUGACUGGGCUAUUCCGUUAUAUCCAGGCCAGCAUCGGUUCGGGUGGUCGGUCAAAGGCCUUGGGAAUGUAUCUACCUUCGGGUCGACUUAUAGCCCAGGGUGUAAUGCGGCCUACCUGGACCGAGGAACGCGCUUCGGCUCGGAUGCUGGCGUAAUGGUUGUAAGCGGCCCGUCUUGAAACACGGACCAAGGAGUCUAACAUCUAUGCGAGUGUUAGGGUGUCAAACCCUUGCGCGUAAUGAAAGUGAACGGAGGUAAGAACCCUUAAGGGCGCAUUAUCGACCGAUCCUGAUGUCUUCGGAUGGAUUUGAGUAAGAGCAUAGCUGUUGGGACCCGAAAGAUGGUGAACUAUGCCUGAAUAGGGUGAAGCCAGAGGAAACUCUGGUGGAGGCUCGCAGCGGUUCUGACGUGCAAAUCGAUCGUCAAAUUUGGGUAUAGGGGCGAAAGACUAAUCGAACCAUCUGAACCAACCUACUGGAUGGUCAGUACCAGUCCUCUCACGGGAGGGCGACGUUGAUAUCGUGCGGGGAGGGCUACCUAUAUAGUAGGCCGAUUCGCAGCCGUCUUUUAACGAUAAAGGCAGGUCCACAGACUAGAUAUCGGCGGCCGGCAGCACUGCGCUGACCGGUAUGAGAUAUAGCCGUUUAGGCCUCGUUGUUGAGGCUUAAAGGUCAAAGGGUAGCUGGUUCCUGUCGAAGUUUCCCUCAGGAUAGCAGUAACGUUUUCAGUUUUAUGAGGUAAAGCGAAUGAUUAGAGGCCUUGGGGUUGAAACAACCUUAACCUAUUCUCAAACUUUAAAUAUGUAAGAAGUCCUUGUUACUUAAUUGAACGUGGACAUUUGAAUGUACCGUUACUAGUGGGCCAUUUUUGGUAAGCAGAACUGGCGAUGCGGGAUGAACCGAACGUGAGGUUAAGGUGCCGGAAUAUACGCUCAUCAGACACCACAAAAGGUGUCAAUGCAUCCAGACAGCCGGACGGUGGCCAUGGAAGUCGGAAUCCGCUUAGGAGUGUGUAACAACUCACCGGCCGAAUGCAUUGGCCCUGAAAAUGGAUGGCGCUUAAGCGUGUUACCUAUACCUCGCCG